rnacentral:rRNA from 1 species
GGGGAAUAUUGCACAAUGGGCGAAAGUCUGACGGAGCAACGCCGCGUGAGUGAAGAAGGCCUUCGGGUCGUAAAACUCUGUUGCCGGGGAAGAACAAGUGCCGUUCGAACAGGGCGGCGCCUUGACGGUACCCGGCCAGAAAGCCACGGCUAACUACGUGCCAGCAGCCGCGGUAAUACGUCGGUGGCAAGCGUUGUCCGGAAUUAUUGGGCGUAAAGCGCGCGCAGGCGGCUUCUUAAGUCGGAUGUGAAAUCUUGCGGCUCAACCGCAAGCGGUCAUUGGAAACUGGGAGGCUUGAGUGCAGAAGAGGAGAGUGGAAUUCCACGUGUAGCGGUGAAAUGCGUAGAGAUGUGGAGGAACACCAGUGGCGAAGGCGGCUCUCUGGUCUGUAACUGACGCUGAGGCGCGAAAGCGUGGGGAGCAAAC